rnacentral:SRP_RNA from 1 species
GCCGGGGGAGCAGCGGUCCCCUGUACCUGCAAUCCGCUACAGCAGGGGUGAUGGUCCGACUGAGGACAGGGGCAGGCAGAGCAGCCCGGUCAGGACGGCGUUGAAGUCCGGGUCUUCCGCAAUGGAAAUCUGUGAACCGUGUCAGGUCAGGAAUGAAGCAGCACUAAGCGGAAGCUUCCAUGUGCCGGAAGGGCGCCUGGGCCGAGCAGGUCAGGCCGGUA